CGCUGGCGGCGUGCCUAAUACAUGCAAGUCGAGCGCGGAAGCGGACAAUCACCUUCGGGUGUGCGUCCGUGGAACGAGCGGCGGAUGGGUGAGUAUCACGUGGGCAACCUGCCUGUAAGAUUGGGAUAACUCGCGGAAACGUGAGCUAAUACCGAAUGAAGUCUUUCACCGCCUGGUGAAAGGGUGAAAGAUGGCUCUUGAGCUAUCACUUACAGAUGGGCCCGCGGCGCAUUAGCUAGUUGGUGGGGUAAAGGCCUACCAAGGCGACGAUGCGUAGCCGACCUGAGAGGGUGAUCGGCCACACUGGGACUGAGACACGGCCCAGACUCCUACGGGAGGCAGCAGUAGGGAAUCUUCCGCAAUGGACGAAAGUCUGACGGAGCAACGCCGCGUGAGUUGAUGAAGGUCUUCGGAUCGUAAAAACUCUGUUGUCAGGGAAGAACGAGUUGUGUUCUAACAGGACAUGACCUUGACGGUACCUGACCAGAAAGCCCCGGCUAACUACGUGCCAGCAGCCGC
rnacentral:rRNA from 1 species